UAUAAAUACGAUGUCGCCAUAUUGUGACGUUCCAUGUUGCUAGGAUCCGUGGUUCUCGGUUCUCCUACUCGACAUGAGGGCUAAGUGGAGAAAGAAGCGCAUGCGCAGGCUGAAGCGCAAAAGAAGAAAGAUGAGGCAGAGGUCCAAGUGAGCUGUCCUCUCCGUAAUGGCUGUGGUGUCGCAUUUUGCCCUGCAACUCCAGCAGUGACCACAGCAGGAGAGCCAGGAUCCUCCUCGUCAACUCUGAAGGCCAGAGGUGUCUACAUCAGCCAGAAGUUGGAGACGCUGAGCGAUGCUAGAGAAAUCACCCAACACCUGUCGGCUGUCAGGAAUUUACUCUAGGACACUCUGCGCCCUUGUUUCUUGAUUCCUCAACUUUUGUCAUUUGUUUUUGUUUCAUAUUUUGAUGAUUAAAGUUUUUGGUUUUUAAAAGA